rnacentral:rRNA from 1 species
UAGGGAAUCUUCCACAAUGGGCGCAAGCCUGAUGGAGCAACACCGCGUGAGUGAAGAAGGGUUUCGGCUCGUAAAGCUCUGUUGUUAAAGAAGAACACGUAUGAGAGUAACUGUUCAUACGUUGACGGUAUUUAACCAGAAAGUCACGGCUAACUACGUGCCAGCAGCCGCGGUAAUACGUAGGUG